rnacentral:rRNA from 1 species
CCUACGGUGGACUGCAGUGAGGAAUAUUGGUCAAUGGGCGCGAGCCUGAACCAGCCAAGUAGCGUGAAGGAUGACUGCCCUACGGGUUGUAAACUUCUUUUAUAUAGGACUAAAGUGUUGCACGUGUGCGUUUUUGUAUGUACUUUAUGAAUUAGGAUCGGCUAACUCCGUGCUAGCAGCCGCGGUAAUACGGAGGAUCCGAGCGUUGUCCGGAUUUAUUGGGUUUAAAGGGAGCGUAUGUGGGUUGUUAAGUCAGUUGUGAAGGUUUGCGGCUAAACCGUAAAAUUGCAAUUGAUACUGGCAGCCUUGAGUAAAGUUGAGGUAGGCGGAAUUCGUGGUGUAGCGGUGAA